rnacentral:rRNA from 1 species
UACGUAGGAUGCAAGCGUUGUCCGGAAUUACUGGGCGUAAAGAGCGAGCAGGCGGUCUGUCAAGUCAGAUGUGAAAUACCUCGGCUUAACUGAGGGGGGUCAUUUGAAACUGGCAAACUAGAGUGCAGGAGAGGAUAGCGGAAUUCCCGGUGUAGUGGUGAAAUGCGUAGAUAUCGGGAAGAACACCAGUGGCGAAGGCGGCUAUCUGGCCUGUAACUGACGCUGAGGCGCGAAGGCUAGGGGAGCAAACAGG